rnacentral:rRNA from 1 species
ACUCCUACGGGAGGCAGCAGUGGGAAUAUUGCACAAUGGGGAAAGCCCAUCGAUGCAGCCAUGCCGCGUGUGUGAAGAAGGCCUUCGGGUUGUAAAGCACUUUCAGUGGGGAGGAAAGGUUGUUGGUUAAUACCUAACAGCUGUGACGUUACCCACAGAAGAAGCACCGGCUAACUCCGUGCCAGCAGCCGCGGUAAUACGGAGGGUGCAAGCGUUAAUCGGAAUUACUGGGCGUAAAGCGUGCGCAGGCGGUCUGUUAAGCGAGAUGUGAAAGCCCGGGGCUUAACCUCGGAAUUGCAUUUGAAA